UACGGAGGGGGCUAGCGUUAUUCGGAAUUAUUGGGCGUAAAGGGCGUGUAGGCGGCUUCGUGUGUCCCAUGUGAAAGCCCCCGGCUCAACCGGGGAACUGCAUGGGAAACUGCGGAGCUUGAGUCCGGGAGAGGUGAGUGGAAUUCCCAGUGUAGCGGUGAAAUGCGUAGAUAUUGGGAGGAACACCGGUGGCGAAGGCGGCUCACUGGACCGGUACUGACGCUGAGACGCGAAAGCCAGGGGAGCAAACAGG
rnacentral:rRNA from 1 species